AGUGAACGCUGGCGGUAGGCCUAACACAUGCAAGUCGAACGGCAGCACAGUAAGAGCUUGCUCUUACGGGUGGCGAGUGGCGGACGGGUGAGGAAUACAUCGGAAUCUACUUUUUCGUUGGGGAAAACGUAGGGAAACUUACGCUACUACCGCAUACGACCUACGGGCGAAAGCAGGGGAUCUUCGGACCUUGCGCGAUUGAAUGAGCCGAUGUCGGAUUAGCUAGUUGGCGGGGUAAAGGCCCACCAAGGCGACGAUCCGUAGCUGGUCUGAGAGGAUGAUCAGCCACACUGGAACUGAGACACGGUCCAGCCUCCUACGGGAGGCAGCAGUGGGGAAUAUUGGACAAUGGGCGCAAGCCUGAUCCAGCCAUACCGCGUGGGUGAAGAAGGCCUUCGGGUUGUAAAGCCCUUUUGUUGGGAAAGAAAAGCAGCAGGUUAAUACCCCGCUGUUCUGACGGUACCCAAAGAAUAAGCACCGGCUAACUUCGUG
rnacentral:rRNA from 1 species